ACAGCUGGAGGACAAAUUUUCCACCGGAUUACCAAAACCUCACGGAUCUCACGUAAUCCCGCCGGUUGUGUAGGCCAAGUUCUCUGCAUUAACGGCAUUAACAGUCUGUCGAGCGCGAUCAAUGUUUAGAAGAAAUGGUCCUUCCGAAGUUUCUCGUUCAGGAAGGACAACCAAAAGCUCGCCAUGAAGGAGAAGGACGGCGGGUGCGAGAAUUUCAGCCGAAGAAGACCAAGCCGGAAUGACCCCUGUGAAAGGCGAGGAAGUCGCCGCUGUCGAUUCGCCAGCCGAAACGACAUCCCAUGUUCCUACGUCUUUCUCGUCCAACCCGCCGAAGGGCAUCACGUCGGUGCUGACAAACAUCAUCCAGACUACGAACCACCCAAUCCGUAACUGUUAGAUGGACGCACAAUCGCAAACGAGCUAGUCGAUUGAAUCGGUGGUCCUGCAUCCUCACCGGGGUCCACAACCGCAACCAGUACGGCCACGAGCAGUGCCGCGAGUAGCUUGAGCAGCAGUAUUUCCGGUGGAAGUAGCGGUGAAUGCUCGGGAAGUAGUGCCGCAAGUAGCAUUUCAAGCUCGAGCUCGGGUGACGGAGGUGGAGACUGGAGACAACACCACGACUAGGACCAGUAGCAACAACAGAAGUGAUCCGUACUGCCGCACUAUGGGCCAUCUCCAUACAAACAGGCGGCCAAAUUAUUUUUUUGCUUUUUAAAUGUUUUUUCAUACAAAUUUGGUUAAUUGUAUGGUAUUGAAAUGAUAUACGUCGAUUUCUAUGACUUUUCAUGUUUUUCAAUAGUUGAUUGUUUAUAAUAAAUAGUCUUUUCAUACAUUUACAAGUGCAACAGAAUUGCGUAUAUAUUGUAUUGCAAGUUUAUAUUAUUAAAUUAUGGAUAAGCUAAUACAUCCCCACUUUAAGGACACAACCCCUCCCUCCUCUUUCAUUAAACAACAUUUUAUCUAUUAAUAGUUUCAAAGCUUAUCUCAUUACCUUUCCAACUAUGUAUUAUUGAUCUAAUAAAAUAUUUAAAAUGGCUGAACUAUGUUAAAAUGAAACAUUCAGUCUUUUUUACGAAAAACGCUAGUUUUUUACUCCAUUUUUUGACUUUCAGCUUGCGUAUCUAAUGAACAAACUUAGAGCUUUGAAAAUUUGGAUUUAUCUUAGUUAGAAUGUUUACUUUCGAAAAAAAAAUACCAAAAAAUAUUUGGAGAAGGUCACUUUUUUUAAACUUGGCCACCCAAUGUACCAUAGUGUGCCGGUUGGAGAAAUAAGCAGCAGCAACAGGUCCAUGCACAAGAAUCAAUUUAAUCUGCUAUCCCUGAACACGUUUUGCCACCAGAAGAUCUUGCAUCGGAUCGUGCAACGGUUCAUAGUGGACCAGUCCAAAUCUUCGCCGGAUACGCCAGUGGUAAAAAACAGCCCAACCGUGAGGAAUCACGCAUUUUCUAUCGCUGCGAUCCCGGCGCCACUCGAAAUCCAUAACUAACAUUCUCGCUCUUCUUUUUGUUUGCACAUUUUCCAGACGUCAAACUGGGCGAUCCGUCGUGAAUCUUCAGCGAGGUCACGUGCGACUUCCGGUCGGACCAACUGCCCACGCCUGAGUUUGUUCAGGUGCACCAGCCCGUUUCCAACAUCAUUCAGCACAAGGCUGGCAGCAGUUUAUCGUCGUCUCGGUCGCUUGUUCGAACAAUUAACAAGAGUUGCUGGAGCGCACGACAUGGAGGACGGCUCGGACGAGCAUCUGCAGAUGUUCAACAUUGAUGACUCCGCGAACGAAACCAUGUCGGAGUGCGUCGGCGGAAUCUAUCCCACGGACACCUCGAGGGAAACGGUCGACAACUACGAGUUGGGCGAGUGCAUUGACGAGAAAUGGCGGCCAAUCUCAGUUGCCAGAAUAUUGACGCGUACGCGAACCUUUUCGACAUGGACUCAUCCUGCAAGACGCUGGGCUGGCAACAAGAACCAGUUGGUGACGUUGCGGUUGGUAACCUGAACCUGUCCUACGCCUAGCAAUAUGGCUUCCUGCAGGCAGCGGCUAUUGCAACCACAGCCAGACAGGGUGGUCAGCUAAUGACGUUCGACUAACAGAUGUGAGACUAAUAAAGAAAUCGGGAAACAGUGAAGCCGAACUAAAAAAUUACUAAAAAGUGAACGAUUUUGCUUUUAAUAUUGAGCAAUUCCAGCUCAAAUCAGGAAUUUUUCUGGUACUUUUGUACCCGACCCACUCCGAUUUCAAUGAAACUUUGUAGACAUGUUAUCCUAGACCUAUAUAAGCCAUUUUUAUGUAUAUGGAGCCAAUAGUACUCGAAAAUAUCAUUUGAGAAGGGCGUAAGGUAUUUAAAUAUUUUUGUGUUUUGUAAUUUAAAAAUUACUGUAUCUCGAAGCCGUUGCGUCGUAUCAAAAAGUGGUCAAAGACAAACUUGUAGGAAAUUGGACGGGCUUUCUGAAAAAAAUACACUGAAACAAAAAUACACGCCACUUCUAUGAGAUUUUUUGAUUUUUAAGUCUAAAACUAAAAUUUCACGAUUUUUUUCGUUCAAAAUUUUUGAGGAAAUAGCCUAAAAUGUUACCAAAAGACUGACGAAAAAUGCAGGAUGGUAUGUCUCUCCUAAAAAAUACAAAAAUCAUUUACUAAAACUGUUUUUUUGAAAAGUGGUCUAAACGUCAAAAUUUUUGAAAACCGGUAGUGGGAAUCGAUUCCCCAGACAAUUUUACAUAAAAGUCUCCAUAUUGACCAUUGUCCUAAGUCCAACCCUUGCGGAGUUACAGCGGUUUUAAAAAUAAAAAUGUUGAAAAAACGAGGUUUUUGGUGGAUUUUGACAAUUUCUAUAUGACAGACUUGGAUUUUCAGUCUCGAAAAUAUUUUUACCGGAAAGCUCGUCCAAUUUCCCAUAAGAUUGUCUUUGACAGCUUUUUGAUUUAUAUCGUUUUUAUAUUUACGUAAGAAAAUUUACUGUCCUGGUUUCUACCACACUGAAAAAAAUAUUCUAUUUUCAGUUAUUAGCAAUGUGAUAAAGCUUAUAUCUGUAAGCCCAUACAUCCAAUUGAAAAGUGGUCAAAGACAAUCUUAUGGGAAAUUGGACGAGCUUUCCGGUAAAAAUAUUUUCGAGACUGAAAAACCAAGUCUGUCAUAUAGAAAUGGUCAAAAACCACCAAAAACCCCGUUUUUUCAACAUUUUUAUUUUUAAAACCGCUGUAUCUUUCCAAGGAUUGGACUUAGGAUAAUGGUCAAUAUGAAGACUUUUAUGUAAAAUUGUCUGGGGAAUCGAUUCCCACUACCGGUUUUCAAAAAUUUUGACGUUUAGACCACUUUUCAAAAAAACAGUUUUAGUAAAUGAUUUUUGUAUUUUUUUAGGAGAGACAUACCAUCCUGCAUUUUUCGUCAGUCUUUUGGUAACAUUUUAGGCUAUUUCCUCAAAAAUUUUGAACGAAAAAAAAUCGUGACAUCAUCUUUAAAUUUUAGUUUUAGACUUAAAAAUCAAAAAAUCUCAUAGAUGUGGCGUGUAUUUUUGUUUCAGUGUAUUUUUUCAGAAAGUUCGUCCAAUUUCCUACAAGUUUGUCUUUGGCCACUUUUUGAUACGACGCAACGGCUUCGAGAUACAGUAAUUUUUAAAUUACAAAAUACAAAAAUAUUUAAAUACCUUACACCCUUCUCAAAUGAUAUUUUCGAGUACUAUUGGCUCCAUAUACAUAAAAAUGGCUUAUAUAGGCCUAGGAUAACAUGUCUACAAAGUUUCAUUGAAAUCGGAGUGGGUCGGGUACAAAAGUACCAGAAAAAUUCCUGAUUUGAGCUGGAAUUGCUCUAUUGUAUGCCAUUCGAAUGAAGAAUAUAGUGAAUAUUCCAUUCAUUGAUUUUUAUUAGUACUUAUAAUUGCAUUACAACCUAACGUGUGCGCCCAUUAUCCACCGGGUUCACCAAGUGAAUCAUAAUGCAGCCUGAAAAAUUUCCGGGAAAGGUAGGUAGCACCUUCGACGGUAAGGCCCUCGCUCUGACGCCGUGCCGAAUCACCGGUUCGGAAGUGCGCGACCGGGAUGAUUCGCUACCGCUGGCGCUCACCAUUGCCUUCUUGAGUUGCAGCAGGAUCGAUCAGGAAAAUGUUCCCCUGCUGGUCGCCAAUACGCUGAUCAGGGUGGUGGGGCCAAAAACGGCGAGGACAACCUGUGCCCUGGCUUCCAGGAAAGGCUUGUGGGGCAUCUACUUCAGGCGCUGCGUCUAAGUUCCUCUCCUUGGCUGUUUGGGAGCCCCAGUACCACUGUUCCGGGCGUAUCGAGGGGCCCUCCUUUGAAGAGAAGGCCUGCGACCUUACGUUGAAUGGCGCGGAGUGUCGCUAGAUGACGGAUUGUGGUCCAAUCAUUAAUAGAACAAAUCCGACCAUUUCGGGACAGAGCGCGUGCGCACGUUACCUAACAAUGGCAAGGGUGGGUGCCAAUGUUAUCGUUCAAUCGUUCACUUCCAUCAAAGAGGUUACCUAUUUUUAAUAUCUCCAUCCGGAAUUCAUGAUAUGGGUUGGUAAACAGUUAUCAUUUAUUUUAAAAAAAUAUCUGGAAUGAUCCGUGUUGAACUGGAACCUUUGUCUAUCAAGUCCGUGGAUUAAAAAAAAAUGGCUGGGUUCAAAACAGUAUUUUUGACCAUAGGCACGGGAAAUCAUAAGCAUCGUGUGCUGAACAUAAGCACGAGCACUGCUCGUCAAAAUUUCACGUGCAGAACCAAAUCGAAGUACACCAAGAAAAUUCAUGUGUGUCUACCAAUCAACCCUGCUGGGCGAUGGCCAAUUGGAGACCACACACACACACACACACACACACACACACCAUUAGAAUUUAGUUUUUCUUAUUUUAGACUCAUAAUAUUCCCAAUGUAUGGCAAUCGGCGGACCAUCUUUGCGUGGUAUGGUGUUUACAGUUCGUUCUGGUUGUCAAUCGUUUUCUGCACAGCAUUAUUGAUUUGGACAAAAAAUCAAACAGUAAAUUCAUAGCCAACAAAGAAAUCAGAUUGACGAAAGCAUACCAGUUCUUUAUGGGCGGUCCUUCUUCCGGUGCCGAACAGUUAUCAACUCUAACUAACAACAUGAUAGAUGAAGAAGAUUGGAUUGAAGACAUUCGUAGAAAUUUUCAGCAUAAAUUCGAUACAGGGCUUCCGAAAACACGUGUUCAAAUGAUACGCUUAGAUCCAAACCCUUUGUAUAAGUUCAGGGGUCCGAACUGCAAAAAGUGUAACUUUUGGACUUAGAAAAAUUUUGAAGAAUUUGCGGAAUGAUUUCACCCGCUGUCAAAUCGGGACUUAGUGAAAUUUGGAUGCUGGUAGCAAGAGGUGUUGCAGGUAAGUUCUGCUCGGAUUUGCGAACAGCUACCGGAAAAGGCAAGAUUCCGGUUCUCUCAAACUGGAUAACCGACAUUACCAGGCCAGCGAAUAAUGUUGUGGCCGAAUUCGGUUGAAUUCUUGGUUCUCCAGUCUGGGGUAAGCGAAAUUCUACCUUCUGGUAGGAAACGGCUAAAAUCUGACGGCUGCGGUUGGAAAAGGCAAGAUUCCGGUUCCUUCAGAUGGGGAAACCAAGAAUCACGGAGAGGUGAAUAUAUUUGUGGCUGGAUUGUAUUGAUUUUUUGGCUCUUCGGUCUGAGGGAGGUAAAUUUUGACCUUCCGGUCGGAAUUCAAGGAAAUUAUCGUCAGCGCCCGGUAAAAAAUAAGGUACCGGUUCCCCCAGACCGGAUAUCCAAGAUCACGGGCUGGUGUUUAAUUUUAUGGUCAUAUUCGAUUGUUUAUUUGGUUCUUCGUUCUGGGGAAGCAAAUUUUUACCUUCCGGCCGCAAAUUCAUCGUCAGCGCCCGGAAAAAAAACAAGAUUCCAGUUCCCCAGACCGGAUAUCCAAAAAUCACGGGCGGGUAGUUAAUUUUAUGGUAGGAUUCGAUUGAUUUUAUGGUUCAUAGGUCUGAGGGAACCAAAUUUGCCUUAAUAUCGACCGGAAGUCAGAAAUUUGCUUUCCCCAGACCGAAGACCCAAGAAAUCAGUUGAAUCCGGCCACACAAUUAUCUACCUCUCCGUGAUUCUUGGUUUUCCAGUCUGGAGGAACCGGAAUCUUGCUUAAACCACGAAUCACGGGAGGUGAAUAAUUUUGUGGCCGGAUUCAACUGAUUUCGUGGUUCUUCGGUCUGGGAGAAGAGAAAUUGUACCACUCGGGGGGAAGUGCAAUGUUACCUUCUGUCCGGAUUUUUGUCAAAUCUGACGGCCACGACUUUUGUUGAAAAAUUGAAAGUUUUCUACAGCUAAAAUUACUUUUCACAGAUUAGAUACGCACGCGAACCAACAGCGAACAGAACGUGUUCCCGGAUUUCGCCUACCGGAAGUUCCGUGCGCCCAGACCCGAAGAAGAAAACAUUUGAGAAUCGAGGACAAGCAACCUGGAAAGUCCGAAGAGGAGGAUCAAAACCAGCUCUCGGAAAGUCAGGAAUCGGCGGGAGAAAACAUACGCGAUGGCACCGACUAUCCCGGCUGACGCUUAUCCCGCUCGCGGCAUUAGAUCUGGCUCCGUAAGCCGCUGCUGAUCCGACAAUCGUGCCAGCUCGGUAAGUCCCCUUCGUGUUCUCCGACAAAGACGUCAGUGCCGAAGCCGCAGUCACAGCGGAUCGGCCCGUUCGUGCAGUGCAUCGGAGCAGUCUAGGUCCAGAUCCGUAUCGGCCGUAACCAGGGCAACCGGCGCGGCACUAGUCGUUUCUUGGUUUGUCCCUACGAUCACUUGAACAUUCCACAGUCCCCGGGGAAACCCAAGUCCGACUUCGGUGCGGCCUCGUCUUGAGGAGUGAUUCAACACGACAACGAGCAGGGUGAGUGCGAUGGCUCGAGGAUCGCAAACUUGUUUAAUAUUUAAGAGCACCGGAUACUGCAGGACAAUAUUGACCAAGAUUAAGACGGGAAAUUUAGGAACGCUACUGCAAGGCAGAGUUGAUCGCCGGUGGCUGUCGCACAUCAACUACCAUUAAGCUGUUUUGCUGCUUCAGGGCGACUCAACCAACGAUUGGCGCACCAAAAAGUUCUGGAUGUUCCGCGGUGGGUCGAUCUGUAAGCCCCCUCUUAUCAACUUUUACACCCAGGGAAUGCCCGAGAAGCUGCUGGUGGAUCUGGACGGCUUCGACUACAACAAGGGCAACCUUUCGGCGGCGUAAGUCGCUUCACUCUGGUCAAGCUACAAUAAUUCAUAUCCAUUUUAAAACAAAGCCAACGUGACCGCUUAGGUCGGCGACUCGGUGAUCUUUUGCAUCGAGCACGCCGACGCGGCCGAGGAGAUUUGCGAGUGGUUCGCCGAGUCGCUGUCGAACAACGAAAACCAUGUUCAAGCGGAAGAUCGCCCGCAUCUACCUGAUCUCGGACUCUGCACAGCUGCAGUGUCAAGGUAUCGAACGUGAGCUUCUUCCGGAAGGCGUAAGAAUGUUUAAAUUUUGAAAACAGCAGAUUUUUCAUCACAUUUUAAUCCUACAGCGUGGAGAAGAAUCUGCUGGGCAUCUUCAAGAAUCUCUUCGCCUACCACAUGCAGUUGGACAGCCGUCUCAAAGCCGAGGGCUUCAAGUCGCGCAUGAUGAACGUGUUCAAAGCGUGGGAGGAGUGGGCUACCCGAAGGACUUUUUGCUUAGGCUGCAGCACACCUUCCUGGGGAUUGCGAUUGUGAGUAGAUUUAUUUAUUGGUUUGACAAUUUCAAAAAUACAAUCUCUCAACAGGUCGAAAAGCAACCGGAAGAAGUGCCCGCCCUGUUGAAGGGAAUUGCCGAUACAGAUUCCAGCACGCCAGUGCUCAAGCACGACAUCUACAACGACGGGAUGCCGCUAAACACCACGGAGGACAUUGACGGCGUUCCGAUG